rnacentral:rRNA from 1 species
GUGGGGAAUUUUGGACAAUGGGCGCAAGCCUGAUCCAGCAAUGCCGCGUUCAGGAAGAAGGCCUUCGGGUUGUAAACUGCUUUUGUACGGAACGAAACGGUCCUGGUUAAUACCCGGGGCUAAUGACGGUACCGUAAGAAUAAGCACCGGCUAACUACGUGCCAGCAGCCGCGGUAAUACGUAGGGUGCAAGCGUUAAUCGGAAUUACUGGGCGUAAAGCGUGCGCAGGCGGUGCUGUAAGACAGGCGUGAAAUCCCCGGGCUUAACCUGGGAAUUGCGCUUGUGACUGCAGUGCUGGAGUGCGGCAGAGGGGGAUGGAAUUCCGCGUGUAGCAGUGAAAUGCGUAGAUAUGCGGAGGAACACCGAUGGCGAAGGCAAUCCCCUGGGCCUGCACUGACGCUCAUGCACGAAAGCGUGGGGAGCAAACAGGAUUAGAAACCCCUGUAGUCC